rnacentral:rRNA from 1 species
UACGGGGGGGGCAAGCGUUGUUCGGAAUUACUGGGCGUAAAGGGCUCGUAGGCGGCCAACUAAGUCGGAUGUGAAAUCCCCAGGCUUAACCUGGGAACUGCAUCCGAUACUGGAUGGCUUGAAUCCGGGAGAGGGAUGCGGAAUUCCAGGUGUAGCGGUGAAAUGCGUAGAUAUCGGGAGGAACACCUGUGGCGAAGGCGGCCCCCUGGUUGGAUACUGACGCUGAUACGCGAAAGCGUGGGGAGCAAACAGG